GUGACAGGUGGUGCAUGGUUGUCGUCAGCUCGUGUCGUGAGAUGUUGGGUUAAGUCCCGCAACGAGCGCAACCCUUAAGCUUAGUUGCCAUCAUUAAGUUGGGCACUCUAAGUUGACUGCCGGUGACAAACCGGAGGAAGGUGGGGAUGACGUCAAAUCAUCAUGCCCCUUAUGAUUUGGGCUACACACGUGCUACAAUGGACAAUACAAAGGGCAGCGAAACCGCGAGGUCAAGCAAAUCCCAUAAAGUUGUUCUCAGUUCGGAUUGUAGUCUGCAACUCGACUACAUGAAGCUGGAAUCGCUAGUAAUCGUAGAUCAGCAUGCUACGGUGAAUACGUUCCCGGGUCUUGUACACACCGCCCGUCACACCACGAGAGUUUGUAACACCCGAAGCCGGUGGAGUAACCUUUUAGGAGCUAGCCGUCGAAGGUGGGACAAAUGAUUGGGGUGAAGUCGUAACAAGGUAGCCGUAUCGGAAGGUGCGGCUGGAUCACCUCCUUU
rnacentral:rRNA from 1 species